rnacentral:rRNA from 1 species
GGUCCAGAUUCCUACGGGAGGCAGCAGUAGGGAUCUUCCGCAAUGGCGAAAGCCUGACGGAGCAACGCCGCGUGAGUGAUGAAGGUCUUAGGAUCGUAAAACUCUGUUGUUAGGGAAGAACAAAUUUGUUAGUAACUGAACAAGUCUUGACGGUACCUAACCAGAAAGCCACGGCUAACUAUGUGCCAGCAGGCGCGGUAAUACGUAGGUGGCAAGCGUUAUCCGGAAUUAUUGGGCGUAAAGCGCGCGUAGGCGGUUUCUUAAGUCUGAUGUGAAAGCCCACGGCUCAACCGUGGAGGGUCAUUGGAAACUGGGGAACUUGAGUGCAGAAGAGGAGAGUGGAAUUCCAUGUGUAGCGGUGAAAUGCGCAGAGAUAUGGAGGAACACCAGUGGCGAAGGCGGCUCUCUGGUCUGUAACUGACGCUGAUGUGCGAAAGCGUGGGGAUCAAACAGGAUUAGAUACCCUGGUAGUCCACGCCGUAAACGAUGAGUGCUAAGUGUUAGGGGGUUUCCGCCCCUUAGUGCUGCAGCUAACGCAUUAAGCACUCCGCCUGGGGAGUACGACCGCAAGGUUGAAACUCAAAGGAAUUGACGGGGACCCGCACAAGCGGUGGAGCAUGUGGUUUAAUUCGAAGCAACGCGAAGAACCUUACCAAAUCUUGACAUCCUUUGAUCGCUCUAGAGAUAGAGUUUUCCCCUUCGGGGGACAAAGUGACAGGUGGUGCAUGGUUGUCGUCAGCUCGUGUCGUGAGAUGUUGGGUUAAGUCCCGCAACGAGCGCAACCCUUAAGCUUAGUUGCCAUCAUUAAGUUGGGCACUCUAGGUUGACUGCCGGUGACAAACCGGAGGAAGGUGGGGAUGACGUCAAAUCAUCAUGCCCCUUAUGAUUUGGGCUACACACGUGCUACAAUGGAUAAUACAAAGGGCAGCGAACCCGCGAGGUCAAGCAAAUCCCAUAAAAUUAUUCUCAGUUCGGAUUGUAGUCUGCAACUCGACUACAUGAAGCUGGAAUCGCUAGUAAUCGUAGAUCAGCAUGCUACGGUGAAUACGUUCCCGGGUCUUGUACACACCGCCCGUCACACCACGAGAGUUUGUAACACCCGAAGCCGGUGGAGUAACCUUUUAUUAGGAGCUAGCCGUCGAAGG